rnacentral:misc_RNA from 1 species
CAACCAUCAAGCCCCCGGGCUUGCGUUGGGACCCUGCGGCUGCCGCAGGCCCCGAAAAGCAGUGGCGGGCUCGCAGUCACACCGAGCGCAGUAGCGAUAUUCGCUCCGGGCGUCGGCUGCGGGCACUGGCCGUGAAACCCCCCCUUUCCACAA